rnacentral:lncRNA from 1 species
ACUCACUUUCAUCCAAUUAUGUUAGAUACCUAAAUCCAAAAUUUUUUGUUUACCACUCUGGAUGCCAAAUGUGAUAUUAGAGAGACUCCAUACUCUUUGCAAUAACUCAUCACCAAAUAACCAAGAAAGGGAAGGAGGUUUUUCAAUUAUAUCCCUCUUAAAGGUAUCUCGUUGUUUUCUGGAGGAGUAAUUAAUUGGCAAAAAUUGAUGGUGAUGAUCAAAAAAAGAUGCCUUUGCACCUUUUUAUAAAGUAAAUACUACAGUACACUCCAUACA